UCCAUUUGGGGCCCAGAACCAUCUGUGACAUCACUUUGAUUUUAGGCUGGUGACGGAAUCCCUUCAUCAGGCAGGCCGCGAGCAUCCCUGAAUACCAUCAAGGAAACAGGCGAGGCUGCAGGGCUGGCCUUGAUCCAGGCGCCAUCUCCAGGCACAGGGUUAUUUUGAUUCUUUUUUGACAAUGCUGGAGGCCAACCAACGCUGGCUCCAGACAGACGACCUUCCCCUGGCAUUGGAGCCAACUGAAGGAGAACUUCCUAAGUGCUGUGCCUCCGGCCCAACGCUAAGCCCUGACCUUACACAGAAGGACAAGGGUGAGGGCCGAAAUGUUCCACGGUGGUUUGGAAAUGGCUUCGAGUAGCAAUCAACACCAGAGGUGCUAGCCCAGCCAGCUGCUGGGCCACAAGGCCAGGCGGCGCUGUCCUGGGAGGAAAUCAAUGUAGUCAAGGGCGUACAAUGGCCUGGACCUUCUUGGGGGAGCGUGGUACCUAACCGGUUGAAAUCAGAGAUGUGGCUCAGCCCCGUACUAUGCACAGGGCAGCCCCAAGCACCAUCAGAGCUCCGGCUGGGAAACCUGACUGGCCUAGAGCCAUCCUCCCAAGCGAGCGGCUUUCUGUUCCGGGAUCAGCUGCCUACUGCCCGCCUGUCCCCGCAACACCCCUCCGGUACCCAGUGCCUCCUCUCAGAGAAUGAAAUAUUCGGAAGAUCCGAAGCGGGGAGUGGCGACGCACACCUGAAAUCCCAGCACCUGGGAGGCGGAGACAGGAGGAUUGUGAAUUCCAGGCCAGCCUGAGCCACAUGGAAAGUCUCUGUCUCAAUCAAAUUAAUUCAAGAGACAAGCUUUACACAUGGGGUGUGCACAGCGGAUCCGGAUGGAGCAGGUUAAUGUACCCCGAGAACGUAGCAAAGAAGACAGCGACUCAGCUGCAGGCUGCGGCUGGCAGGGCUGCAUCCAAGAGGAGACCCAGCUUGACUCUCCGUGCACGUGGUGACUGCUGGCACGUUUUAAAGUGCAUCCAUUUACAGGAACAUUCUGGACCCAGUAAAAGCAUGGCACAUAGAGGAAGGAUUGGCAAGUCAAGUCCCUGCUAGCUGAUACUUAAGUGUAAUAAUCCAGCCUCUGUCCCGCUACCUAGCAAAGCCCACAAGUGGUGCCACAGGCUUUCCAGAAACCAGUGAGUGUAACUGUGUGCCAAUAAAACUUUAUUUGUGCAUGCUGGCCUUU